UACGGGGGGGGCAAGCGUUGUUCGGAAUUACUGGGCGUAAAGGGCUCGUAGGCGGCCAACUAAGUCAGACGUGAAAUCCCCCGGCUUAACCUGGGAACUGCAUUGGUGACUGGCAGGCUUUGAGUGUGGCAGAGGGAGGUAGAAUUCCACGUGUAGCAGUGAAAUGCGUAGAGAUGUGGAGGAAUACCGAUGGCGAAGGCAGCCUCCUGGGCCAACACUGACGCUCAUGCACGAAAGCGUGGGGAGCAAACAGG
rnacentral:rRNA from 1 species